rnacentral:rRNA from 1 species
AUAACCCCGGGAAACUGGGGAUAAUACCGGAUGGGUCACUACUUCUGGAAUGGGUGGUGACUGAAAGGCGACGCCCUUGGAUGGGUCUGCGGCGGAUUAGGUUGACGCCGGUGUAACGUACCGGCGUGCCUGUAAUCCGUACGGGUUGUGGGAGCAAGAGCCCGGAGAUGGAUUCUGAGACACGAAUCCAGGCCCUACGGGGCGCAGCAGGCGCGAAAACUCUAACAAUGCAGGCAACUGCGAUAGGGGGACAUCGAGUGGCACCCACCUUGGGUGCCUGUCCCACCGUCUAAAAAACGGUGGUUAGCAAGGGCCGGGUAAGACCGGUGCCAGCCGCCGCGGUAAUACCGGCGGCUCGAGUGGUGGCCGAUAUUAUUGAGUCUAAAGGGUCCGUAGCCGGCUUUGCAAGUCCCCCGGGAAAUCCAGCGGCUUAACCGUUGGGCUUCCGUGGGAUACUACAUUGCUUGGGACUGGGAGAAGUUAGAAGUACUCCGGGGGUUAGGGGUGAAAUCCUUUAAUCCUCCGGGGAACACCGGUGGCGAAGGCGUCCUACCAGAACAGGUCCGACGGUGAGGGACGAAAGCUAGGGGCACGAACCGGAUUAGAUACCCGGGUAGUCCUAGCCGUAAACGAUGCUCGCUAGGUGUCGCAACAGUCGUGAAUUGUUGCGGUGCCGUAGGGAAGCCGUGAAGCGAGCCACUUGGGAAGUACGACCGCAAGGUUGACACUU